rnacentral:miRNA from 1 species
UUGCCGAUUGAUAGCUGCCAAU